AUUGAACGCUAGCGGGAGGCCUAACACAUGCAAGUCGAACGGAGUGGCGAACGGGCGGGUAAGGUAUCGGAACGAGACCAGUAGCGGGGGGGAACUAAGCGAAAGCGUAGCUAGUACAGAAUACAUGUGGAGAGGCCGAGAUCGGAUGAGCUAGUUGGUGGGGGAACGGCUCACCAAGGCGACGAUCCCUAGCUGGUUUGGGAGGACGACCGGCCACACUGGAACUGAGACACGGCCCAGACUCCUACGGGAGGCAGCAGUGGGGAAUUUUGGACAAUGGGCGCAACCCGGAUCCAGCCAUCCCGCGUGUGCGAUGAAGGCCUUCGGGUUGUAAAGCACUUUUGGCGGGAAAGCGUUACCCGCAGAAUAAGCACCGGCUAACUACGUGCCAGCAGCCGCGGUAAUUC
rnacentral:rRNA from 1 species